rnacentral:rRNA from 1 species
UACCUGCAGCUCGAGUGGUAACCGUUAUUAUUGGGCCUAAAGCGUUCGUAGCCGGUUUGGUAAAUAUUCGGGUAAAUCGUGGGGCUUAACCUCACGAAUUUCGGAUAGACUGCCUAACUCGGGACCGGGGGAGGUCAGAGGUACUCCUGGGGUAGCGGUGAAAUGCUGUAAUCCUUGGAGGACCACCAGUAGCGAAGGCGUCUGACUAAAACGGAUCCGACGGUGAGGGACGAAGCCCUGGGGCGCAAACCGGAUUAGAUACCCGGGUAGUCCAGGGUGUAAACGAUGUAGGCUUUGUAUUGGAAGCUCCACGAGGGCGUCCAGUGCAGAAGAGAAGUUGUUAAGCCCACCGCCUGGGAAGUACGGUCGCAAGGCUGAAACUUAAAGGAAUUGGCGGGGAGCACAGCAACGGGAGGAGCGUGCGGUUU